rnacentral:lncRNA from 1 species
UGGUGACAUACUUUAGAUCUCUCGCAUAGCGCACCUAGGUCACAUAACGAGAGCCUAGACAGAGACCAACCCUUACCAAAGACUUGCAACGCGUACCACUCGCCCUUCAAAUUAAUUUCACAAAGGCUCCAGGCUAGCCUUAGUCGCAUAGCGACAGGAUUCACUAUGCGAAUCCGUAAGGAAGAGAGCAGUACUCUUUGGUCAUUCGCAAAGCGCACCUGCUCGUACAAUGAAUGACCCAAGGCAGAGAGCACUCCCCUGCAUGGACUCGCUAUCCGAAACAAUCCGCAUAGCGAGUCUACAUAAUCUGCAGAAAGAAAUUUGGAAACACACCCCCCCUUUUCCAAUUCUAGUCCCCUUUCCCAACUUCUAA